rnacentral:rRNA from 1 species
UACAGAGGGGGCGAGCGUUGUUCGGAAUUACUGGGCGUAAAGGGCGCGUAGGCGGCCCGCUAAGUCGAACGUGAAAUCCCCAGGCUCAACCUGGGAACUGCAUUCGAGACUGCAUAGCUAGAGUAUGGGAGAGGGAAGUGGAAUUUCAGGUGUAGCGGUGAAAUGCGUAGAUAUCGGAAGGAACACCAGUGGCGAAAGCGGCUUCCUGGUCCAGCACCGACGUUCAGGCACGAAAGCGUGGGGAGCAAACAGG